rnacentral:piRNA from 1 species
GCUUAUUUUUUGUAAGAGAUCUGGA